CCUCUGUCUCUGCGCCGUUACCCAGAUCUGCGUCGCCGUGCCCCGUCCUAAUCGUCUCUGUCUCUGUCGAAGUUUUGUUGGUGUGAAAGGUAACUUUGGAUCACUUAAAUUCACAACCAAUUUGUGAAUUGUUGAGGGUUCAGUUCGCCAAUAUAUCGGAUUGUUUCGAGGACGUUAGUUGAUUAAGGAGCUUCCCCAACUUUGAGGUAAGGGACUUUCUACUGGACUCACCUAAAGUUUUUGAGUUGUGUUGGACUGUAUGGAUGAUGAUUAAGAUGUACAUGUUUGGUUGCAGACUAAAUGUUUAGUGUAUGUUGUAUUUGACUGGAAACAUAUAUAUAUAUACAUUGAUGUGUGAAUUGAUGUGGAUUGCCGAAAGUAUACAUGUGAAUGACUGAAAUUAUGCUUAUGUGUACAUGAUGAUAUUAAUAGAUUGUGCUGUAUAAAGAUUUGGAUGUGAACUAGUGAAUUUGUUUCGGUUGGAUGUGGAUUAUACUGAACUGUGGUUUGUGCUGGU